rnacentral:rRNA from 1 species
AUUGAACGCUGGCGGCAGGCCUAACACAUGCAAGUCGAGCGGAUGAAGGGAGCUUGCUCCUGGAUUCAGCGGCGGACGGGUGAGUAAUGCCUAGGAAUCUGCCUGGUAGUGGGGGAUAACGUCCGGAAACGGGCGCUAAUACCGCAUACGUCCUGAGGGAGAAGGUGGGGGAUCUUCGGACCUCACGCUAUCAGAUGAGCCUAGGUCGGAUUAGCUAGUUGGUGGGGUAAAGGCCUACCAAGGCGACGAUCCGUAACUGGUCUGAGAGGAUGAUCAGUCACACUGGAACUGAGACACGGUCCAGACUCCUACGGGAGGCAGCAGUGGGGAAUAUUGGACAAUGGGCGAAAGCCUGAUCCAGCCAUGCCGCGUGUGUGAAGAAGGUCUUCGGAUUGUAAAGCACUUUAAGUUGGGAGGAAGGGCAGUAAGUUAAUACCUUGCUGUUUUGACGUUACCAACAGAAUAAGCACCGGCUAGCUUCGUG